rnacentral:rRNA from 1 species
AGCUCCAAUAGCGUAUAUUUAAGUUGUUGCGGUUAAAAAGCUCGUAGUUGGAUUUCUGUCGAGGAAGACCGGUCCGCCCUCUGGGUUGGUAUCUGGCUCUGCCUGGGCAUCAUUUUGGAGAACGUUCUGCACUUCACUGUGUGGGGCGGUAUCCAAAUCAUUUACUUUGAGGAAAUUAGAGUGUUUCAAGCAAGCUUUAGCUUUGAAUACAUUAGCAUGGAAUAAUAAUAUAGGACCAUUGUUCUAUUUUGUUGGUUUCUAGAACUGUGGUAAUGAUUAAUAGGGAUAGUUGGGAGAAUUAGAAUUGCGUUGUCAGAGGUGAAAUUCUUGGAUUUACGCAAGACUGACUAAUGCGAAAGCAUUUUCUAAGGAUGUUUUCA